AUGUCCACGGUGCUCGUGGUGCACGUCCGCUCGGCCGGCAACGCGCCGAUACUGAAGCAAGACAAGUUCAAGAUUUCAGGACGAGAUAAAUUCUUGAGGGUUAUUGAAUUUCUUCGUCGACAACUUCAUCAGGAUACACUGUUUGUCUAUGUCAACAGUUCGUUUUCUCCAAGCCCAGAUGAGCUGAUAAUUGACUUGUAUAAUAAUUUUGCAAUAGACGGGAAGCUUGUGGUAAACUAUGCUUUAUCGGCAGCGUGGGGUUAA
rnacentral:rRNA from 1 species